AGAAAAGUAAGCUAAAUUUAAGCUAAUGGGUUCAUACCCCAUAUAUAGAGGCAAUCUCUCUUUUCUA
rnacentral:tRNA from 1 species